ACCUAAUAGAUACCCUGGUAGUCCACGCCGUAAACGAUGAGUGCUAGAUAUCGGGGAAUUUAUUCUUCGGUUUCGCAGCUAAACGCAUUAAGCACUCCGCCUGGGGAGUACGAUCGCAAGAUUAAAACUCAAAGGAAUUGACGGGGGCUCGCACAAGUGGUGGAGCAUGCGGUUUAAUUCGAUGCUACGCGAAGAACCUUACCAACCCUUGACAUGGUGGUCGCGGAUUUCAGAGAUGAUUUCCUUCAGUUCGGCUGGACCACACACAGGUGUUGCAUGGCUGUCGUCAGCUCGUGUCGUGAGAUGUUGGGUUAAGUCCCGCAACGAGCGAAACCCUCAUCCUUAUUUGCCAGCGGGUAAUGCCGGGAGCUAUAAGGAAACUGCCGGUGAUAAGCCGGAGGAAGGUGGGGAUGAUGUCAAGUCAUCAUGGCCCUUACGGGUUGGGCUACACGCGUGCUACAAUGGUAUCUACAGAGGGAAGCAAUACGGUGACGUGGAGCUAAUCCUUAAAAGAUAUCUCAGUUCGGAUU
rnacentral:rRNA from 1 species